AGAGAGAGAGAGAGAGAGAGAGAGAGAGGACUGGUUGCUCUUCGUGUGAGCUGUGGUAUUAGAGUGCAUAUCGCUUUAAAAACAACUACCAGUGAGGGAGACCAAGAGACCGGCUGCAUUUCCUUAGAGGGAAUGUUUGUGUUUGUGGCGCUGAGACCAGCGAACAGAGGGUGCAUUGCUUCAAUGAGAAGGGAAGAGAGAGGAGGAAGAAGAGAGAAAGAGUCAGCAGGGACCACUGUCUGUGUGGGACUAGGGCAGAAGGACUAGCAGGGUUUGACCUUGAGGAGGCAUCAGACCGCUGAAUCCCAGAGAGACUGAGAGGACAGAGAGGGACAGAGGAGAGGAGGAAGCCGCAGGGUUAUCGUGUCUCAUUGUGGCUUACCUCUAGAGAUGACCCAGUUAUUAUCUAUUGGCGCUAAGUGGUAUCAAGAGGACAAUAAAGGCUAAUCAUAUCUUCUCAUUACCUGGGCCUCUGUGGAUUUUACCUGUAAUCGCUUACCUGUUCAAAUAAAAGUUUGCAAAUGUGAUACCUGUGGAUAUCCCACUGAUAUCAACUCGUACUGCUGUACAUACCUCUGGUGGUGUGUCUCUCAUCACAGAGUGUCAGUCGGUGCAGUAAUGGAGGCAGUCUUGUUGGGUCUAGACGAGGUGGUCUGUACUCGGCAGGGUCUGCUGUGGACUCUCACCUCCACAGCCCUCCGACGCCUUCGUGUGCAUGCCAGGAACCUUCCUGGACCGCUGCACUUAUUACACACACACAGGUGUGUUUCAAGGCCACUCUACCAGAUGACAGAGGGGAGGCGAUGUCAGGUCCAUCUCCUGGACGACAGGAAGCUGGAGCUCCUUGUACAGCCCAAGCUGAUGGCUAAGGAUUUGCUGGACCUUGUGGCCUCUCACUUCAACCUCAAGGAGAAGGAGUACUUUGGAAUUGCAUACACAGACGAAACGGGUCAUUUUAGUUGGCUGCAGUUGGACCGCAGGGUAUUAGAACAUGAGUUCCCCAAGAAGUCUGGUCCCAUCGUCCUCUACUUCUGUGUCAGAUUCUACAUAGAGAGUAUAUCCUACCUGAAGGACAAUGCCACUAUUGAGCUGUUUUUUCUUAAUGCCAAGUCGAUCAUCUACAAGGAGCUUAUUGAAGUGGACAGUGAUGUUGUUUUCGAAUUGGCUUCCUAUAUUCUACAAGAGGCUAAAGGUGAUUUCACCAGUAAUGAUGCAACCAGGUCUGACCUGAAAAAGCUGCCUGCUCUGCCCACCCAGGCCCUCAAGGAGCACCCAUCUCUGGCCUACUGUGAAGACCGGGUCAUAGAGCAUUACAAGAAGCUCAAUGGACAGUCCAGAGGGCAAGCUAUUGUAAAUUAUAUGAGCAUUGUAGAGUCUCUGCCCACAUAUGGAGUACAUUACUAUGCUGUAAAGGACAAGCAGGGGAUCCCAUGGUGGUUGGGUCUGAGCUAUAAAGGUAUCUUUCAAUAUGACCACCAGGACAAGGUCAAGCCCAGGAAGGUGUUCCAAUGGCGUCAGUUGGAGAACCUCUACUUCAGAGAGAAAAAGUUUUCAGUGGAAGUUCAUGACCCCAGGAGUAGGGCGUCAGUGACAAGAAGGACGUUUGGCCACAGUGGCAUUGCUGUGCAUACCUGGUACGCCUGUCCUGCCCUCAUCAAGUCCAUCUGGGCCAUGGCCAUCAGCCAACACCAGUUCUACCUGGACCGCAAGCAGAGCAAGUCGAAGAUCCAUGCAGCGCGGAGUUUGAGUGAGAUCGCUAUAGACCUUACUGAAACCGGAACUCUGAAGACGUCCAAACUGGCCAACAUGGGCAGCAAGGGCAAGAUUAUCAGUGGCAGCAGUGGCAGUCUACUCUCCUCAGGUUCUCAAGAAUCGGACAGCUCCCAGACAGCUAAGAAGGACAUGCUGGCAGCGCUGAGGGCCAGGCAGGAAGCUCUGGAAGAAACACUAAGACAGAGACUAGAAGAACUGAAGAGCAUCUGCAUCAGAGAGGCGGAGCUGACAGGAAAGCUUCCUAAAGAAUAUCCUCUGGAUCCGGGAGAGGAGCCGCCCACAGUGAGACGAAAGAUUGGUACCGCCUUCAAACUGGACGAGCAGAAAAUUCUUCCUAAGGGAGAGGAAGAGGAGCUGGAGCGGUUGGAGCGGGAGUUUGCCAUUCAGUCCCAGAUUACGGAGGCAGCCAGGCGUCUUGCCAGCGAUCCUCAUGUGAGCAGUAAGAAGCUGAAGAAACAGAGGAAGACUUCUUAUCUGAACGCACUGAAGAAGCUACAGGAAAUUGAGAACUCUAUCAAUGAGUACCGGGUCCGCUCUGGCAAGAAGCCUACGCAGAGAGCGUCGCUUAUCAUAGAAGAGGCCAAUAUUGGUUCUGAAGACAGCUCACUGUCUGACGCACUGGUCUUGGAUGAUGAUGACCCUCAAGUUACUGGUACCCCCACCUUCUCUCCGGUAGCAUCACCUCACAAGGGCCUCCCUCCUCGGCCACCAUCUCACAGUCGGCCCCCUCCACCGCAGUCCCUGGAUGGCCUGCGACACCUGCACUACACACGCUCUGACUACGAUAAAUCGCCCAUCAAGCCCAAGAUGUGGUGCGAAUCAUCACUGGAUGAGCCCUAUGAAAAAGUCAAGAAACGCUCCUCUCACUCCAGUCACAGGCGUUUCCCAAGCUCUGGCAGUGCUGAGGCAGGGGGCAGUAACUCUCUGCAGAACAGCCCCAUCAGGAGCCUCCCUCACUGGAAUUCUCAGUCCAGCAUGCCGUCGACCCCAGACCUGAGGUCCAGGACCCCACACUAUGUUCAUUCCACUAGGUCAGUGGACAUCAGUCCCACACGUCUGCACAGUCUUGCUCAGCACUUUAGGAACCGCAGCUCCAGCCUUGAGUCCCAGGGCAAACUGCUCGCAUCUGACCCUGACCCACACCCGCACACCCUGGGAACACUGGGCAGCCCUGACUUCUUCCUGGGCCCAGGACGCAGCUCCAAUGGCUCUGACCCACUGGAUGACUGUUCAUCCUGCACCAGCCAAAGCAGCUCAGAGCAUUACUACCCCUCUGGUGGACCCCCCGGCAGCAACCCCAACUACUCUACUCUGGGAGAGGAUUCACCCUCCAAAGCCAGGCAGAGGCAGAGGCAAAGGCACAGGUCUGCAGGACACCUGGGUUCCUCUAACUCCGGCUCCAUGCCAAACCUGGCAGCUAAGAACGGCUCUGGUGGAGGCUCAGGUGGAGGUGGGAUGGGAGGGGGACACCAUGGAGUUUACCUCCACAGCCAGAGCCAGCCCUCCUCCCAGUAUCGCAUCAAGGAGUACCCGCUGUACGUGGAGGGCAGCCCCAACCCCGUGGUGGUGCGCAGCCUGGAAAGCGAUCAGGAAGGCCACUACAGCGUCAAGGCCCAGUUCAAGACCUCCAGCUCCUACACGGCCGGGGGGUUGUACAAGGAAGCCUGGGGGGGCGAGGAGGGAGGAGAGGGGAGUGGCCGACUCACGCCGUCACGCUCUCAGAUCGUACGGACUCCGUCAUUGGGGCGAGAGGGCGGUGGAGGAGGAGGAGGGGGGAGGGCAGCAGUGUCUGAAGAGCUGCGAUGUUGGUACCAGAGGUCCUCAGGGAGCCUGAAGGAGAGGAGUCACUCACAUUCGGGAUCCACUUCCUCCGAGACAGGGUCACAGCAAGGCACUCUGGGACAUGGACGAGGGAGUAGAGUAGGGACACUCGCCAAGGGCUCACCAGCUGCAUCCCCUCACAGCCAGAGGAGUAUGACGCCCUCCAGUGAACACGCAGCCACACCCACACCCCCUUGUAGCCCACAGCACAUCCUCAACUGGCAGAGCGGAGGCACAGCAGACAGCUCUCCUACUGAGGACGUCUGUCAGUCUCCCCCUCAGCCCAGCUCUGAUGCAUAGAGGUACUGUCUGUGGUCUCGGCCUCCCAGUGGUCUAAAGCUACAGUGUACUGUUGGGAAAACACAGCAGCAGCAUAAGCAGAUAUUGCCAAAAAAAAAAAAAAAAACUGAAUAAACUAAAAAAAAAAUUUUUAAAAAUCUAGAAGUAAAAAUACAGCAGUGACAGCAGUACUAAAUUUACACACAAUCAGAUAUUCACAGAAAUCUGUCCGUACACACCUCUAAAAGUAUAAUGAGCUCAUGCGACAUGUCUACUAGUCACUUAUAUCAUCACCUGUGGGGGGGCUGACAAUGAAGAAGGUUCACAGUUUCUUGCUCUUUGAUGGUGGAGGUCUUUUAGCGACAGCUGUUUUCUCAGCAGCCCCCUGUGUUCAGAGCUGGCAGAUGUGCAGUGGUACGGACACGACAAGGCCAAACCUGGAACCCUGGUCUGAGACCUUCCUUUAGAGGCCCAGAAAAGUACCAUUGCCCUCUCCUACUGCCUCUCAACUGUCCCUCACUACUACCCAUCGACAACCAACAACCUCAUCCUUAAAGCCCUACAAAAACCCUACCCCGACCGGACUAGUGGACUGGACAUGAGCCUUCCUCCUCCCUAUAUCCUGCCCUUCAUCCAUCUCACCACCUCUUUAUUAUGCCCCCUCUAUCACAGCUCAGUCAGACAGGGACACACUCACUAGGCUCUGAUAAGGGCUGGUUUUACAGGAUAGACUGAGAAGUGUCACCUCAGCUGUUGAACUGUUGCCCUACAGCACCACAGAGCCCUUUCUUUACUCACCCUCUGCAGCACACAAGCAACGGGCACGGGGGGAAGGAGCGACCAAAAGGGAGAGAGCACAGAAAAAUAUCAAACACACAACUCAGACUCAACAAAACACUGGCCAUUCCAGGAUCUAUUUCAUAUCUCAUCUUUGGUCCCCCAACCUUACGAACUCCAGUGCACUGCCACCCAAUCAGAGGAUACCUGCUGGAUUUGAGCCACCAGUUUGAAACCCAUUUCCAGGCCCAAACGAACUGUGUUGGAUUUCAUUAUUCCCAUCAGUGUUGUUUGUCUGUCUUGUUUAUUUCUCCCUGCGUAUUUAUAAAAAGAGAACAUGACACAAACUUUUCAAAAAAUCUGGAUUAGCAAACAUGUAGAUGACAAAUUCAACUCCUCUCAGUUUUAACCCACAACCAAAGACAACUACUGGAUUGACUGAUCACACCAGGGUCUGAUGAGCUGGUGCCCCCUGCAGAAAAGUGACUGUCAGUCACCCGUCUGAGAGUGAAUUCACAAUGACAAUAUCAGGAUGGUUUCUGGGACUCUGUCUGGGAUAUUGAUGAGGACUAUAGCAAUAACAAACAUUGUACAAGUACACGAACUGGUUUGAAUCUUCAGAGUGAAUUGAAGCAGGCUUUUUGCCAUGUUCUCUGCCUUGUGACGCUUGGAGUAAAGGAUCAUUAGUGCAUCACAGGAAGAACAUGGAGUUGUGGUUAUUGGGUUUGGCAUUAAUCUUAUGAUUUCUUCAGUGACUUCAUCAUUCAUUUUUAUUAAUGUCUUUGGUCUUUAUAAGAUUUCUAUGUCCAUAACAGUUUGUUUGGCCGCAUGGUGGAUUAUGAACAGUACUUGAGCCAGAGCACGGAGGGUUGGGUUGAAGGGUGAUUUUUUUUUAACAUGGCUACACACAGUCACAAUUCCUGCAUCAUUUAAUUUCAGCUUUUCAUAUUUUUCAUCUUCAACCCUGAAAGUAAAGGACGAUUGGCUGUUGACACCUGUUGGCAUUACUUGUAGUUUGACAUUGAGGCUAUUCAGUGAUAAAUCUCUACAGUGACUCAUCUUUUUUUAUCACUAUUGUCUGUUCUUUGCCUUUGGUCUUGGUUUUAUAUUCACACCAUACUGUGCAUCUGUCAGUCUCUUUGUAGCACUGUGUUUUCUCAUCUUUCUGUCCCUCUCUUCAGCAUGACAGGAGAGAUCCUGACUGAGCACAGACAGUCUGAACUCAACGCUGGCCAGAACACAUGCUGACAGUCAGAACACUUGCAUUUAUGGGCACACGUGAAUACUAAUAUAUUUGUGCCAAACAUGUUUGUGCUUUACAUUUGUACUGUUUUCAGCACUAGAACAGCAGCUCCUUCAAGCUACAGACCCUUUCAAAUCCCCACAGUCUAUAGCCAUUCUAUAAAACAGCAGCAAUGCAGAGUAGCUAGAAGACACUUCACAUGCGUCUCUAUAAUUUGGCCUCUGGCAGUAUUGUUAAGAAAUUAGUCAAAGCACAACAUCAACAGUGUCUAUGAGGGCUGGAGCUACCAUUGGUAUGUUCAGUUCAUUUUCCACCCUCAAUAUUAUACUGAUGAGUUGUAUCAAAGUGCAUAAGAGGCUACUAGAAAAGCUAGAACCACAGAUGAGGCGUUAAUGGUGUUUGUUUUGUUUUUACAGUAUAUGGACAUCAAUGAAUUAAUAAUUAAUACUGUCAGGGCAGAAGAGAAGCCAUAAUCAGAACAGAUAGAAAAACCCUCUAAAAUGGAGAGAAUUAUUUUAUCACAUAUCCCAAUCAACAAUCAGAUAUUCAGAUCAGGGUUAGAAAAGCACAUCUGGUUUUGUACAAAGGAAGUAGAAUUCUGCAUGUCGUUGCUUUUCCUGAAUCAGUUUCCCUCAUCUGACCUUGAAAAAUGUUUAUGUUGCAGAAUGACGCUUACCAUUGUUUCGCUGUUGCACAAAAUCUGAAUUAAUCAGAUGUUAAUUUUAUUAAGAGUAUGACAGAUUGUACAUCUCAGUGACAGAGAGAAGUGGACAUGUUUUUUUGUUUUUUUUUUCAGUCACAUUGCACCAUUAUGUCUGGAUAAAUUGUGUAUCAUGCUGUAAUGCAUGGGAGGAAUGGUACGUAUGCUACCCUGUCUCUCACAGUGGUGUUUCCUUUAUGCACUGACGUCAGUUGUUGUAAUCUGUCACUUUCAAGACUGUUUUCAUAAGAAGGUUUAGCCCACUCCCAUGCCCCUGUGCAUGGCUGGUUCCCCCAAGAGUUAUCCAUCCAUGCCUGGUCAAAUUUGACAAGUCUUUACCCAGGAUUGGAACCAGCACUCACCACACAGUUACCAUCUCUAGUGUAUUGAAGUUUGACCCAACUUUUCUCACUGAAAGUUUGCGCCCAGAUCCUGUGCGCCAAAGACACACAAUCCCACGCAUGCCAUUCAGAUCCAGUGACAAAUAAAAACCCCUAAAACAUCCAGCAUCCGAUUUCUAUAUGCUAACAUUAGCACAUCUUGCUCUGUAGUGUCGCCCCACCCCCAGACAGUCCUGUUUUGCCCCUGUGGUGAUCUUUGACCCCCGAGUCCGAUGUGAUGAAGUGUGACGUCCCCUCCUUCUGUAGUUCCAAACACACCAUAUUUUCUGUGCUCCAUAGAGAUGUUUGAGGUUUUUAUAAUACUCCAAGAGAAAUUAACUUAACUCUUUAUCAGUCUUUUCCUGUAUGUACGGAGGGGCACUGUAAGGUUUUGUGGGGUUUUUAACAUUCACAUUCAUUGUUUUAACAAUGUUCCAUUUUAUAUGAACCAGUAUUGUUUUUUUUUUUUAGUUCUGACAUCGUAACAACCCUUCAGGUGCUACAAAAUGACCAGUUACUGCUUUGUCACGUAGGAUCUAGACAUCUGUUCAUUGUUAUCAAUAGAUUCAAUACCAGUUGUGCAAAAUGAAGCUUAUUUUAACAAACAGUUUAAUAGUAGAUCACUUCCCCUACCAGACAAUAGAGCAUGUAACUUGAUUUUAUCAGUUCUGUUCAACUGUAACAUUAAAGGUGUUGUAGAAAAAAUGUGGAAUUGAUAAGAAAAAAAAAACUGAAUUCCACAGUUAAUUUAUUCUUUUUUCUAUUAAAAAUUUGUAUAGUAACUUUACAUUUUUCAAAACUGUGUUGUUGGAAAUUGAUGAUGAAUUUUCAAGAUGCGAAGCCGUGGUGGUUCUUGAGAGUAAGAAAAAUAAAUUAUUGAUGAAUGUUCUCAAGACAA